UACAGAGGGGGCAAGCGUUGUUCGGAAUUACUGGGCGUAAAGGGCGCGUAGGCGGCCUUCUAAGUCGAACGUGAAAUCCCCGGGCUCAACCCGGGAACUGCGUCCGAUACUGGAAGGCUUGAAUCCGGGAGAGGGAUGCGGAAUUCCAGGUGUAGCGGUGAAAUGCGUAGAGAUGUGGAGGAACACCGAUGGCGAAGGCAGCCCCCUGGGCUAACACUGACGCUCAUGCACGAAAGCGUGGGGAGCAAACAGG
rnacentral:rRNA from 1 species